AACGAACGCUGGCGGCGUGGAUUAGGCAUGCAAGUCGAACGCGAAAGGGGAGCAAUCCCUGAUUGAGUGGCAAACUGGUGAGUAACAGGUGGGCAAUGUGCCCCAAAGUGGGGGAUAACGUCCGAGAAAUCGGAGCUAAUACCGCAUAAGGCGUCAAGAACCUUGGUUCAUGACGUUAAAGGAGCAAUUCGCUUUGGGAUCGGCCCG
rnacentral:rRNA from 1 species